AGUGAACGCUGGCGGUAGGCCUAACACAUGCAAGUCGAACGGCAGCACAGUAAGAGCUUGCUCUUACGGGUGGCGAGUGGCGGACGGGUGAGGAAUACAUCGGAAUCUACUUUUUCGUGGGGGAUAACGUAGGGAAACUUACGCUAAUACCGCAUACGACCUACGGGUGAAAGCAGGGGAUCUUCGGACCUUGCGCGAUUGAAUGAGCCGAUGUCGGAUUAGCUAGUUGGCGGGGUAAAGGCCCACCAAGGCGACGAUCCGUAGCUGGUCUGAGGGGAUGAUCAGCCACACUGGAAGUGAGACGCGGUCCAGGCUCCUACGGGAGGCAGCAGUGGGGAAUAUUGGACGAUGGGCGCAAGCCUGAUCCAGCCAUACCGCGUGGGUGAAGAAGGCCUUCGGGUUGUAAAGCCCUUUUGUUGGGAAAGAAAAGCAGCAGGUUAAUACCCCGCUGUUCUGACGGAACCCAAAGAAUAAGCACCGGCUAACUUCGU
rnacentral:rRNA from 1 species